AUCCAGCUGAAGAGUCCCAAAUUGAAUGAGACGCAUGUCCUGAAU
rfam:Schistosoma mattheei strain Denwood, Zambia genome assembly, scaffold: SMTD_scaffold0002227